CAGUGUUCGCUGCCCUCACGGGUAGCAAACCUCACCCUUGUGUAUUAUAUCUUUGUUGCUUUGGCACGCCGCCUUCGGGUACCGGCUUCGGCUGGCUCGCGCGUGUCAGAGAACCUAAAACUCUGAAUUAUAAUGCCGUCUGAGUACUAUAUAAUAGUUA
rnacentral:misc_RNA from 1 species